AGAGUCCAGGCGUGGCUUGUCUGGGUCCUCUACUCACAGACCCACGAGGCUACAUCCAGGCAUCAGUUGGGCCGUAUCCUCACCAGAGGCUUAAAUGGAGAGAGAUCUGCUUCCAAGCUCCAUCAACCAAAUUAAUUUCAACAUAGAGGUGGGACUCCAGGAGCCCCGUGUAGCAGGCGUGGCGGUGGCAGGAACAGCAUCUCUCCUCCAUCCAUUGGGCAAACAUUUUUGGAGCCAGACGCCGUGGGGACCUUGGCGCUCGCCAGCUCCGGAAGCUCCGUACUGCCCUGGGGUGCAGCUGAGCCCGGGGCUAACUGGAAGCAGCCUGGAGGACCUUGACCGCUCACAGGUCAGUCCGGUGAGACCGAGGGAGACCCCGGAGGCCGAGGGUGUGCCUGCCCCGCCCCCGACCAGAGGGGAGGCCCCUGCACAGGGAGUAGGGUGGGGGCUCCCCUGUGGGCCCCUCCCAAUAUCCCAGACGCCCACGGCCCAGGGCGGGCUCCUCAGGCUCUAAUUUUAACCCCAAGGAAGGUGCCAAUCGUUCAUUUUCAAAGCUGUUUCAAAGUGACUCUGAUAAGCAAAUUGCUGGCAGCCCUGGUGGGUGAUUAUUUCUGCAUUAAUCAGGAGGAAAUUAUGCCAGUUACUGAUUAACUAAUUACAGCAAUCAGAUCGGCUGGGAGAACAGGGCAGGAGGAGGAGGCCAAGGUAAACACAACCUGGGAAAGGUGAAGGAGGCAAUUUGGGGUGGGGGCAGAGGGCAGAGACAGGAGGUCUCUUCCUGCCGCCUCUUCUUGCCCAAACCCCCCACUCCAGCUGAGGGCCGCUGAGGCCAGAGCUGGGUGCCCAGCCUGGAGGUGGGAGGCAGGGUCCAUCCUCUGGAAUCAGUACCUGCUACGACAGGAGAAGUCAUUCCGUGUCUGCUGGAGAACACAGGUUCUGGCCUUCAGGAGGCCCCUUUCUGGUGAUGGAGGCUGAGGUUUCUGCACCUACCCCGCUCCCACCUGGCUGAGGGAAAGUCAGGACUUGGCCAUUAAACACACAGCCUCAGAACAGGAAAACAAGUGACAAAAGAGGAUGAGGUGUGGGAGCCAGGGCUUCAGACCCCAGAACCCAGAAGUCACCUGGUCUGCCUGGUAAAAGGUCAUCUGCCUCUGCCUACUGGCUCACCUCCCCCACCCAGAAAGGAGAAUGAAUCCCAGAUUUCCCUCCCAGCAAUCAGCCACAGAACUCACCAUCCACUUUUGGAGGCUCAUGGUAGGUCCUUCCAGAAUCCUCUGUGCUCAUUCCCUGACCUUCCCCCUCCCAAAUGCUUCUGCUCAUGUUUGUUUGUGCAUGUGUGACCAAAGUUAGAGCCUGGUUCAACAGUUUUCUGACUUCCACUUGGCUCAGUACAGAAGGUAUCAUUGGAUGAGGUGGUGGUUGUGGAUAUUAACAGAAGCCAGAGGACGAGGAGGGGCAGACAUUUUCUUCUCUGCACGGCCUCUAACUAUGGGGCCAUAGUUAGACAUAUGGGGUAGAAGGUUUGAUGAUUUCUGACCACACAGGACUCUGGGGAGGAGCUGCGGGGUCCCCAGGGAGGCCACUGCUAGCCUCUGAGUGAGUGAGUGUGUGUGUGUGUGUGUGUGUGUGUGUGUGUGUGUGCAUGUGUGUGUGUGUAUAGUCCAGUUAAGGUCAUCUACAGGCUGAAUUUACAGGGCUCCCAGGCUUAGGCUAGAAGAAUCUUGCUCCUCUGCAUGGGAAGCCUGUUUUUGUUCUCUUCCCACAGUUUAGGAUGAUUUCUCUUCCUGGGGUGGCAGACCCAGGGAAUGAGUGCCAAAGGAUGGGAGGGAGGGCUGCCCAGCCAGAAGCUGUACAGGCAGGCUGCCAGGGUGGGUAUUGACUGACAAUGGGGGUGAUGGGGUAAGGGUCUCUUCCCCCAUUUGGCACCUGUUCUUUUCAGGGUCCUGGAAAACUACAUCUGCCAAUGUCCCAUCUCAACUCCAGAAGGGUGACUCAGGGUCCUGCAGACAGAGAAAGUCCCUUCUUAUUAAUGAGGAGGGAGGGGCGCCUGGGUGGCUUGGUCGGUUAAGCGUCCGACUUCAGCUCAGGUCAUGAUCUCACGGUCCGUGAGUUCGAGCCCCGCGUCAGGCUCUGUGCUGACAGCUCAGAGCCUGGAGCCUGUUUCCGAUUCUGUGUCUCCCUCUCUCUCUGCCCCUCCCCUGUUCAUGCUCUGUCUCUCUCUGUCUGAAAAAUAAAUAAACGUUAAAAAAAAUGUUUUUUUAAAUG
ensembl:lncRNA